ensembl:lncRNA
GGGCAAUAUGUAAUGAAUACUUAAUCAUGCUGAAAACUGCUGAGCAUAAAGGACAGAGUGUCCUUCUCUGUCAAGCAUAUCAACAUGGAUAGGAAAAUAAAAUAAAAUACAGUCACAACAAAUGUGUUAUACAACAAAUAAUCAUAAACAAAUAAAUCACAAAUAAUUAAUGAUUUAAUGAAGAGCUAUGUAUUCUGAAGAAACAUAUAUCAUAUGUUUAUCAAAGAUAUCAAAGAAAUCAACUGUGGAUGCAACAUCCCAUUAUUCUAUACUGUUGACAAAUAUUUCCAAAAUACACUCUGGGACAGAGAGGCAUAAUGUCCUAUCCAGAAUAAAUAUCUGUCUGUCUGUCUUUCUGUGGGUGUUAGAACAGCUGCACACUCCACUCUCUCUCCCUUAUUGACAGUGAUGGAUGGGAGAGGCAGGGAAGGUGUUAGUGAGAGAUGAGAGAGAAAGCAAGGAGAAAAAGCAAAUGGAGAAGAAUUCUGAAGUUGCACAGGAAUGAUUUUACUUUGUAGUGCUGACAAGACUGUACAAGCUUCAAUGACUGGAUCACUAACAGGCAGGGCAGCGAAGAGAAACAUUUUGGAUAGGAGAAAAAAAAAAAAAAAAAAAACCUUGGUAUAUAUUUUACAAGAUUAAAAGGCUAGGGUUGUGAUUAUUUUGUAUCAAAAUAUAUGCUAAUAUCUAUUUUGGCAUGAAAACGGAUUCAGUCUGCUUGGUGUGAAUUCCAUAAACUGACUGGAACAUUCAGAGCUGAUUGAAACUGAUCAGGAUCGUCUUUCCUGAAGCAAGUAGAACAUUAGCCAGAUGUAAGUGCUUAAUCUCUCUGACCUGUUUCCCAAAAGCAUUGCUAUUUGAGUAGCUUGUAAAAGCAUUUGUAAAUUAAUGAGAGCCUCUGAGCAUUUCUUAGCCCUUUACAUGCAACUUAAAUAGAUCUUUUCUUGAAUCUUCCAUAGUUUAUGACAGGCAAAUUGACACUUCAUGAAUAAUAUUAAUGCAUUUUGAGCAUUGUAAAGCCAAUGCCCCAAUGAGUAACUACAGUAACUAAGAAAACCAGGACUGUGCCCGAAAUUAAAUACUUCCCUACUUUAUAGUAUGUGAAAAAACAAUAUGCCAAAAGAUUAGUUUCCAAAUUCACAGUAUUCAAAAAAAUAAAUAAAAUAAAAUAAAAUAAAAUAAAAUAAUA